GCAGUGAAGUCCUUCACCGCGGGGGCGAAGUAGACCGUGGCCUUGUGCUUGAGCUCCUUCUCUGCGAUGUCCUUGUCGGAGUUAAACCUGAGCACGUAGAAAGGCUGCACCACAGGCCCAAACACCUCAAACACCUGGAGACAGCUGAAGACAAAUCAUUUAUCCACAUACCGAGCUUGUCAACGAUACUGGAGAUGAGUCCCAUGGGCUUGAGCUCAGUGUCCUCUGGAAGACUGAUGUGGAGGUCCUCCACCGCAGGAAGCUCCUACACACACACACACACACACACACACCCACACACACACACAGAGAGAGAGAGAGCUAAAUCUAGUCAGGCAUCCCACAAUACAGGACAAACGUUGUUAGCAACACUAAUAUACAGUUAACCUGAAUGGAAUGGAGCUGUAACUAAAUAUGACAAUGUUUUGGACUUGGUGGAGUACCAAGGUGAUGAACAGAACCACAGAUUUAGCUGUUUAGCAGCAGUAGAUGUAUUGUGAAGGGAAAGAAAUGCCGCUGGUCAACAAUGUCUACACGAGUGCGAUGCAGUACAGUGUGUUUUGGUAUCACUCUUUUGGAACUGCUGUGUGCACUGAGUUUUAGAGUGAAUCAGAGGGUUCAGUCAGCGGUUCUGAUGUGUUUCUCUCUUACAUCAACGAGGACUUCAUCUUGAGUCUUGAGAGGCGCUGGUCCCUUUCCUUUACUGAGACCUUCUUGGUCGUCCUCUUCCAUAACAAUUAGUAGAGGUCCAGAUGAGGAGGAAGAAGAUGAGGAAGAUGAAGACGACGAAGAGUCUGAGUCCGAAUCACUGAAGGAAAGAAUGAGAGAAAUCUCAGUUAACGUCAUAUGUUGUCAGUCAGUUGGCAUACCUGUCUGACGAGUGGUCAUCAGAACUGUCCCCUCUGUACUGAAUGAUGCUGCUCAGUCCCUCAGACUUCUGGACAAACUCAAGAUUCGUGACGGAGGCCACAGCAGACUGUGGCACCAUCUUCGUAUGGUUCCUGAUGAACACUUGUGGAAUUGAACUCCAUUGCUCCCAAGGUGGUGGAGGCGGUCGUGUCCAUAUCCUCUGAUGUUGCAGGCUGAGUCUCCAGACUUGUUGCCAGUCUCUCCAGCUCGGCCUCAUACAUGAUCUCCUGGAUCAGAUACUUCUCCCUGCGCAUGCGGUCACGCAAGUCUUUUGGCAGGUCAGGGAUCAGCUUCUUUCCAUGUGUCCAGUGGAGGACCACGCUGUUUACAGCCACGGCCAAAAAAGAAUACCGCAUAGAAUUACAAACAAAGCCCUGUGAACAGAGUCUCGCUGUUACUAGCCAAGCACUUCAUUCUGGAGGACAGCUGACUGUGGGAUUCUCGGAGGGGCGAAGCUUCACGACUCUUAGGCUUCCAGAGUGACUGACAUUCUCUCAAAUGGAGCUUCCACUGAACAGCAGCCUGUCCGAUGCUCUGCAGCCCUCCAUCAGGGAAGAGCGCUUUACUGCUAGCACAGUGGGCACUGUGGUUGUGCUGAUGGGCGUGUUGACCUUCGCUCUUCAGCUGGCGCUCGUCGCGCUGUUUUUCUACAAGUGCUGGAACUACGACGCACAGAUCCGAGAAAGCCACAAAGACGCAAAGCAACCAGGGAAACCUGUCGCGAAAGAGAGCAUCAGCCUUCUGACUGCACCUCGGCAUGACGCUGGCUUCCACACCGGCGUGGCGUUAGCGGCGGCUGGUUUGUACUCCACUCAUCUGGCUCACUCCUACUGCUAUUAUGAGGAGCUGGAACGGCUCUCCCCAGCGACGCCUUACUUGCCCUGUAAUGCCUGGGAUUUGGUGCAGCGCUGAAGGGCACGCUUAACAAGAGACUGCAGCACUCCCUCCGCACGCUCUCGCUGCAAGGAGCAGCCCCACACUGGACACUUCAGAAGCUCAAAUCACACACACACAUACACACGCUGCCAUUUGUAUCAGGUGAAAUCUCACUAUGUGUUAGGGGAAGGAUGCUUGACAUUGCUUUAGAAUGCUUAUUUGAGUUUAAAUGUUUUUAAACACUUACCCCAAACUGCCAUGAAUACAGCAAAGAAAACAGUCGCUCCAUUAUCGAAAAGAUGGGUGACCUACAAUACCAACAAGCACACACACACACACACACACACACACACAAUCCCAAAACUGUAUUAAUUGAGGUACGCUACAUGAACAGAUAUGAAUAGCAAGUAACCGCAUUUGCAUACAUUUUUUGAAGAAAAAGGCAAACCGAGCAACUCAAGUAGGUUAGCCUCACCUUGGCAUAUAUACAGCUGUCUGAGAGUCUCAUGUAUGGGCAGUAGUGGUCACAGAGGGGACACAUGAUGAUGUCAGUGGCCUGGCAGACCUCUUUACUAAAAGAAGUAAAGGCCAUCUUAGAGGCAGCAGCACAGCAGCAGUGACAGCAGCUCUUUCUGGCUCUGACAUCUGUCUGGUGUCCCUACACUGGCCUCCCAGUGUGCACAUGCUACUGUGAUCUCACUGAAUGAUAAUGUUAAGGUUAGAAUAAGCAAACGUCAUGAGGACAUUUAUAUCGCUUCAUACACAGCUGAUAUAAACUAUAAACUGGAAUAUACAGAAUAUAUUGUAUGCUAGCUAGGUUAACAUCCUGAUUGCAAAUCAGAAAAGAAAAUGUUCUCAGUAAAACAGUAUCUAUCCUGAUCUCAACGAGAAUUUCAACAUCACAUAUCUUACUUAAAGUAUCUUGAAGUAAUAACUAAGUAAAAAUGUUUAAGAAUUCCCUCACAUGAAUGCGAUAAUUUGAUAGAACUGAGUUGACAGUUACAUUACCUAACCUGGCAGUGCUCCAAGGUAAACACCCCAUAGAGAAAGACCAUGAGCCCUACAAUAGCUGCUGGGAACAGCAUCCCCGUGUACCAGCCCAGCCAGGCGAAGUAGAGGCCAAUCUUCUCCCCGAAGUAUCGUCUGAGAUUCACAACAUGAUAUAAGACAGAUGCUGCUCCCUCUACCCACAGUUCAGUUCAUCAAGUGCCUCAUGUUUGUGCCUCAUGUAGUAUUAUAAUUAUGUCUCUGUUUAUGAUAUUAAAAGUAUUGGUAUGGUAUUGAUAAAUGCAAUCAGUAUUAGGCAAUCUAGUCACGAUUUGUUUUGAUUAUGCAUCUAUGUGAAAUGUACCUUAUGUUCAAUUUUCCUUACUUAAUAGCAGUUCAGCCAGACCUGUUAUUGUAUUAUGCUUGUCACAUUAAAAACACUGUAUGUGUGUUUUUUAAAAAAAAUUAUCACUCACUAACUGUACUGUUAAGUUCAUUCACUUCUGCCAUUUUCAAUGGAGAAAGUUCUUUGUGUGUGUGUGUGUGUGUGUGUGUGUGUGUACCUGACGAGGUCGAGCGGUUGGUACUUGUACCAGACUCCCCACCAGGCCCAGCAUUCGUACAACAGGUGGCGCUGGUUGUCUGCCCCGUGAGUACGGAUCGAGUUCUUGCUUCUGUAGCUCCCCUGGUCAACACAGAGUCACUGCCCAUUACAGCACAUUCUCAGGCAGCAUACAGAGUUAAAUGUAAAUGCAGACAGUGGACAGAAAGGCUCACAUACAGGAGGACAACGAGGCAAAAAAAAUCCCUCCAAUCAUUUCUUUUCUCAAAGUUCA